GUUCGUCAAUGUGGUUUUCUGUCUGUAUAUCUUAGAUCAAUAGUGUGUAGUCGAGGAAAUUUCUGCAUCAUUUGUAAUUAUAAAAUUAACUCGAACGGCUGAUUUUAUACCUUGUAACAUAUAUUUUGAAACGUUUUUUGUAAUAUUUGAAGGAUUAAGGCUGGUUUGAAAAAUCUCACGAGCCACGCAUAAUUUUUUGGGUUCUCAUACAAAAAAAAACCUUACAAGGGGCGUCGAAAAAUCGUAAAAAAAAUUACGUAAUAUUGUAAUUUUCCUUUUGUUGCAAGGCUAAAAAUUCGCCAAUUGUUGCACACCUCAUAAGAAUAACAUGGAGUGUGCAACAAUAGGCGAGUUUUUAGCCGUGCAACAAUUGGAAAAUUACCCUAAACAGACAGUCCCUAUGCCCAGGGAGCCGAGCAAAUUUUGAAGACCGGAACGGGAAUCGAACCCGCCGUCUCCGGAUUGGCGAUCCAUAGUCUUUCCACUAGGCUAACUAGACACCCUGCUUCAACUAAGGAAACUGUUGAAGUUUUGGAUGAUUACUUAAUGUCCGGACUGCCAAAAAAUGCUCUGGCUUCUAUCUGUCUUCUUCAACUUAGAAUGGGUAGAACAUAAUAUACCAGUUUUACAUUAUCUCGCUAAAAAUUAAGUGAUCCAAUCAUUAGAAAGUAGGGUGGACGUACCAAUUAUGGCAGUACUAAGGAAAACUAUUUGUACAAAAAUAACGAGAAGACCAACGAAUGUCAUCAAUAUGUUAAAAGAUAGCUAAGUUUCCACACUUUACAGGAAGUAUAUAGAAAUGGAGCCAAAACUACUUUUAGUAUUUAUUACAGUGUGUGCCAAUGAUAGGAACCCUGUACCAAUUAUGGUUACUUUUUUAACUUCGGUUCCUUUUCGCACUAUUUCAGUGGUUUUCAACCAGGGAGAAAUUUCCCCCUAGGGGGGGGGGGGAUUUCGCCCUGCUAAGGGGGGAAUUGUCCACCCAAGGAUAUUAUUUACUUUAAUCAAUUUUCAACACUAAAAUUCAUUGCCAAGCACUUUCUUCCAUGCCCCUACCGACAUCUUUGAGCAUAUAAUCAAAUUUGAAUCAUUGAUAAAAUUAUUAAAAUUGUUGAUUUGAUUAAAUCCAACUCUUUGAAUUGAAGACUUUGUGCCAUUCAUAUUCCAUCCAAUCAGCAUCCAGCAUCCAAAAGCUUAUGUAUAAUAUCAACGUGCGUUGGUUAUCAAAAGGAACUGAAACGGAUUGUAUCUUACGAAUUCAAAUACGAGGUUAAGGUUUUUUUUUUUCACCAAACGUGGAUAUCUUCACAUGUAGAACAAUCCUCAUUGGAAUCUACAUUUAGCCAAUUUUGCUUAUAUUUUCCGACAAUUGAACAAGCUCAAGUUGAAACUUCAAGGGCAGCAAACCAUCAUUACAUCAUUACAUUUUGUGGAUUUUAACAAUGCGUUUUCAAGUAAACUGCAAAAUCUGACGCGGAAAUUCCAAUCACAAUUCGUCAAUGGCUUUCAACUGUUAUCAAUGAAUGACGAAAAAUAGAAAGAGAAAACAUUCCCGAGAAGCAUACCCAAGCAACACACAUGUUAUAUAAAAGUUACGACAGCGCAAGUUCUGGUGGUACAGAAGUUAAUUUGACGUUAUUCUAACAUUAUGAUGGAAUAACAUCGAAUAAACUUCUAUACAACCGAAACUUGCGCUGUCGUAACUUUUAUAUAACCGUUAAAGGGUAAAAAUCAGCUACGGCGAAUGAUUGGUACUAUAACCAUAAUUGGAACACUUACCCUAGUUUACUUUGUUCCAGACGCGCUAACUUGGUCAAAAUAUUGGGGGGCAAAGCCUGUUUUUUUUUCUGAUUUUUUGUAUGGGAAAAUUGUAAAAUCUUCAAUUAUAUGCUUGCCCCCCUAAGUUGGCGCCUAUGCUUUGCUCAUAAUUGUUUUGAAGCCCCACGCGAAUGCACGCCGAGUUCACGCCGAAUGUUCGGCGCACACGUCUAGGGCGCUGUCCAUAAACUACGUAGACUCAUUUUUGAUCAUCUCAGACCCCCCCCCUCCCCUCCCCCCACGUAGACUAUUGUCCAUACAAAGACUUUGGCCAGACCCAUCGUUCCCCCUUAAGAGUCUACGUAGUUUAUGGACAGACCCUAGUGUGUACCAGGGAUGAAAUACAGGCGCCUUUAAUAUAGCGUUGCCUUGCAACCAAAACAAUAAUGAAUAAAAAAAAAGUGUAAAAAUUAGGGUUUGCAAGAAGGAAUCAGGAUAACCGUGCUUGAGCAACAGGAGGCUCCAAGGUCUAUCAGAUUUUUCCGGCGAGUUGACGAUUGCGAUUAGAUGCUGCAAAUUACAUGUGAACGCUGAUGAAUCUGGAAGUUGAAAUCUAUCUAAUCUAUCUCAAUCUGACGGAAAAUCCGUCAGAGCUACUUUCUGGAGUUUCCCUGAAGAGCCUCUCAGGAAUUGUCACAAUUAAGAUUCUUUCCGUAUUGUUUGACGUGUUGUUUUCUUGCUAUUCCUUUGCGAAUUCCUUCGAACUCUUCCAGAGUUAUUGCUCUCAGAGUCCCUCGAGGGAUUGUUCCCGGAGCUCCUUCUGCGAUUUCCCAAAGACACUUUCGUGGGAUUUCUAUCAGGAUUUAUCUCGAGAUCACAAGUAAUUUUCUAAAUAUCGCAGAUAUUGUCGAAAAAUUUCUCUUGGUUUUUUUUUGGAUUCCCUUUGAAAACUUGCGAUUUCUUCCGGUGUUUUUCUUGGGAUUCCUCCAGCAAAUCUUCCCGGGAUAGCUCCCAGAGUGUCUACAGGAGUUAUUCCUGGAGAUAGUACUAGAACUUUUCCAAGGAUUUCUUAAGGUGUUUUCACACGAAUUUUCAGCAGGAAUUCCUUCUGGGAUUCCUAAAAAAACUUUCCAUGAGCUUUCUUUUACAGUUUCUCCCUAGAUUUCUACUGGAAUUUCAGUUGGGAUAUUUCCCAGAAAUUCUUGCGGGAUUUCUUUUAAUCAGUGUACGCAGAAUAUGGCGCAACAAGCGAAAAAUAGGCAACAAAGAAGAGACGGCAACAACGCUUUGUUUUUUCGUUAGCAGAUAAUGACAAAGAUCGUUCCCGAGUUUGUUUGCAACAAAAACGGUAGGAAUAUUUGUCUCGUUUUGUUCACAUUGUGAUUUUCGCAUUGUUUUUCAACUGAAAUUCGACUUUAAGGUUUGCAAAAGUUCUAAUUCAUCAAAAUGCUUAUGAAUUCGAUGAUGUGGGUCGAAAAUUUCAGCAGAAAAGCCGGAAUAUCAGCAAACGCACGGCAAGCGAUGUUUGUUUUAUUGCUCUCAUCGCCUGACAUGCGUUCGUUGCGGAGCGCCUUUGUUACCAACAUGUACCGCUUAUUACAAAGCGUUUAUUUUUUGACGUGAUCCGCUUUUCGUACCCUGCUUUUAAUGUAUCGCCAGAGAUUUCUCUUUGAGUUUGUACCGGGACUUCCGGUAUUAGUUCUAAGAUGUCUCUCAGUUUUUAUGGAUUUAUUCUGAACUUCGGAGCUCCUUCAGCGUUUUUUUUUGCAGCUAUCGAUGAUAUUUCUCAUGGAGUUCUUCCCGUGCUUUCUUGCAGAGCUUUUCCAGGUUUUUCUUCGUAGCUGUUUACUGGAUUACUUGUAGUGAUCCACUCGAAUUUAUUUUUAUAGAAUCUCUACCAGCAAUUAUCUUAAUAUUCUGGAUCCGUUAGGUUUUCUUUGAUAAUUACUCCCGGAGAUUGCAGAAAUUUUUAUUAAUGUCUCCUGGGAUAACUUUCGAAACUCCUUAUAGAAAAAAUCGCCAUCGUAGAAGUUCUGGUGGAAGCUGGUGGUGAAAGGUGGAAGAGGUCCCGAUAAGAAAAGGAAAGAUCGGGUUAGAGUAGAUAUAAGAAUGUGGGAAAGAGGAAAGUGUAAGAAGAAGAAGAAGAGGCUGGAAAUAAAUGUGUAAUGUAACGUUACGUGAGUCUUUUGUGCUACAGUGCGAUCAUUCCCUGCCCACGAAUAACUUGUUUAGAAGCAUGCCGACCCUGAGGUGUUGUUUCAGGGAGUCUCAGGAAGGCUCCCCUCUUGAGUUAGUCGGCACUUACAUAGUUCGGAAGGAAUUUCGGUGAAACCUAGCGAGAAACUCCACAAAAUAAAUCUCGCUAGAAACUCUAGAAGAAACCCUGAGAAAAACUGGGACAUCAUGGAAAAAAAGAUCUGAGAGUAAUCCGGCAAGAAAACUUCAGAAAUUUCAAGGAGUAACUGGGAAAACCUCUGAGAGAAUUCCCGGGAGGAAUCACGGGCAUAAUCUCGCGUGGAAAUCCAAGAGGGAUGCCUGAAAACUCUCUGGAAGUAUUUCUACACAAAUUUCGCAAAAAUUUCGAGAUUAACUGUUGGAAAGCUAUCUCGGGAAUCCAUUAAAAAAUAUUCCUUAAGAGACUUUGAAUAAAUUUUGGAACGAUCUCCAGAAGGAAUCAAACGACAAGCUCUGUAAAUUGUAUCUGGAAUUAUGGAUAGAAUUUUGAAAUCUCAUUAUUACUACACCACCAGCAAAGAGUAUAGACAUCCAAGUUCAGUGUCAAAACAGGAUGCUUCCGACAGUAUCUACACCGUUUCGGGCAUGCGGAUUCUCCCGAAUGCCCAGUGUGCAAUGGUUUAGAGGAAACGGCGGAACACGUUUUGUUCGUGUGCCCGCGUUUUCGCACAAUGCGUGACCGCAUGCUUGCCACAUGCGGGGAGGACACAAACCCGGACAACUUGGUCCAGAGGAUGUGUAGGGAUGAGUUUGGCUGGAACGCCGUUUCAACGGCUAUCACCCAUAUCGUCUGGGAACUACAGAGGAGGUGGCGCUUGGACUCGGAGAGUGGCUAGUCCAGAUGCAGUACAAGAGGUGGUCCAGGGGUUCGGAGUCGGCUUCGUAGGUCAUACCGGUGCCCUGCGGUCGAGAUCGACCCUUACAGCGAUUAAGUGGCCGUGGAGAGGAAGUCCCGGUAGCGGUGCUGUCGUGGCGUCGGUCUACUGGGUUGGAUCUGAGCCCGCGGUUGGAAAGGGGUCCCCGGCAAGGGUCGGGGCAGGUGGAGACCCUGCUGUCAGCAACCUUCUGGUGCAGCUGAUAGGUCCUGAAGGGUAGUGAUACCCUUGCCUUCAGCAGGUCAGAUCGGGUUGCACGUGGCCAUCAAUUCUUGAUGUCUGCAAAGCAGUUGGGCGCGGGCGGGGCUGGCUAAGCGCCAGCAUGUUACCGUGAUGGACUCUCCAGAGCGAGUCAUCGAUGUUCGUUGCUGCUAGGCUACGCAGCUAACCUUGAGGGUGCGAUGUGCACUAGCCCCUCUCUGAAGCAAUACCUUCUUGGUGGUUCCGGAGAGACGUAGGGUUUGGCGACCAUAGGAAUGUGUUUAGUGGGUACGAGGAGAGAAUAGUCCUGGCUUUUACUUUUGUUGGAGAAGACGGCCUCAGACCUACACUACCCUAACCUUCUGUUAGGGUGUCUGUUGAGCAGAUUAUCCCCCUAUGGUUUAGAAGAAAAAAAAAGUGUCAAAACAGGAUAAGGAAUUUAAAUGGCAAAUGAUUUAGAGAAGAAAUGAAAACAGUUAUUUCUCUAUGAAUCCAAGCUGAAAAUUCUGGAGGAACACUACUGAGAAUGUCAAAACCGAUCAAUGAAAUCGUGGUUGAUGGAAAUGUUACUAGUAUUUCGUCUGUUUGUCUAUUGUGUAUGUUUCCGUAGCCACGAUCUGAAUCGAAUAAUAUGAAAAGUGUUACGUGUCUGUUUGUUUGAGAUAUGUAUUGUGUUGUUUUCCUGUUAUAACGAACACCUUUUUGAAAAUACAUAAAAUAGGGUAGUGGAGGUAUUUUGGUCCACCUAGGCAGGCUUGUCUGCACUGAGUGCAUGAAAAUUCUGCUCUUUUGAUUUACACCACCAAAACCAUCAUAUUUAUGUAAUCUUCCUAUCUUACCUGAUAGAAGGAUGUUUGAAUAUCCUAAAUGUCAUUUCAAACUGUCAAAAAAUCGCACCGCAGUGCCACACUGUGCGUGCAAAGAGAAUUUCACCCGGGUGAAUUCACCCCAGUGAAUUUCUCUUUGCGCGCUCAGUGCGGCACUGUGGUGCGAUUUUUUGACAGUUCGAAAUGACAUUUAGGAUAUUCAAACAUCCUUCUAUCAGGUAAGAUAGGAAGAUUACAUAAAUAUGAUGGUUUUGGUGGUGUAAAUCAAAAGAGCAGAAUUUUCACGCGCUCAGUGCGGACAAGCCUGCACCUAGGGAGUUUUAAUACAUUUAAGCUGUAAUAUAUUUGUGUGUGUGUGUGUGUUUCUUGCGCUCGUGUUUCUGCUUCAUUAUUAGUCUACCGUUUAUCGUCUUCAUAAAUUGCAAAUCGGCCUUAUUAAUCGCAAUGAGCACAUCGAACGUUAGCUAAAGUGCUCCUUGCGCGAAAUCUAUUCGGUCUAUCCAAUAAAACGUAUAAUAGAGUGAUAAUCUGCAACUUAAAUCGGCUAAUAUUAGAUGUCCAAGUGGAAGAUGCAUUCUAAUACAGACCCAAGUAAUUUGUCCACAUGCAAACAGUGCUCAGAGGUAUGGUGUUGAUUGUAUUGCUUGUGAAGGCUUUUGCAAGAAUGUUUUCCACGCUGCUUGUGUAAAAUUGAAGCGCGAAGACAUAAUUACCUACCGACAAUCUUUGAAUUUUUAGUGGUUGUGUGAUCAAUGUAUCGGUCCGAUGCGAAAACACAGGAAUAAUCGCCUCAUUUUCAAUGAAAAAAUGCCUACUGCUGGACCAACGACAUCGAAUUGUGCUGAUAUUGCCCGCAUCGAUGGUGAAUUAGCUGUGUUAACCCUAAAAGGGAUACCUUCAUGGCCUCAGUUUCGUCACCUCGCUGAGUGUGUUCCAUCAAAGGCGAGCUCUGAAAGGCGCCUGGGGUCCAAAUGGACCCCAGGUAUCCCUUUUAGGGUUAAAGGAGCAAAUUGUUUCCCUACAUCAGUCGCUUGCACAAGUUACUACGUCCCGUCCCGUGUCGAAACCGGUGAAGUCGAGGAGCCAAAAGCCAAAAGUGUUUCAGGUGGUUUCAGGUGUGCUCUUGCAAAUCUCGGGAGUUUCAGAGGCGUUUCAGUGCAUUUAACGAGUGUUCCAGGUGAUCUCAGAGAAUGUCAUGAGGCUUUAGAGGUUUCAGAGGUGUUUCAGGAAGUUUCGGAGGGUUCAUGUUUCAUGUUCAUGUUCAUGACAUGCAGAUGUGUACAUUGUAGCCUACGACAAAUCGAAUGUAUAAUACACACAGAACAUUUAAUGUUUACUUGUGAAUUCAAUGCUAGAAUUAGAUGAAAGUUACAGAAAAGGUAACAAAAUGUUUGCUUCUGCUUUAUGCAACAAUGUAUUUCUGUCAUUUCGUGUAUGUACACCAUUUAUAAGGCAAUCGAACUCAACAACUUUCUGAUAUUGUUUUUCUGCAAUGCAUCUUGAACCCAUACAUUAAUGCCAGUCAAUUUCAGGGCCCCUAGCUGUUCAUGAACGGCAUACAUCAAAUCUCACAUUAUCAAUGAAACAAUUAAGACAAACGAAAAUCAAUCAUUCUGUUUUUUGAUCUUGCUCGAACCGGAUCACUCAAGUGCUACUGGUAAGUGUCUCUGAACUAGAGCGAACAACAUUCAUCAGGCUACCAACACUCACCACUCAAACGGCUGGUUGAUCAUACCUGACCACACGACUGACAAACUCGCUCAGAUUAGGACUAUGUUUCAUCCAGUGUGACAAACAUCAACUUCAAUCUGUGCGGGUUGGUCGGUCUUGUGGCGAAGAAUCAAUCCACCAACCGUUUCAGUGGUGAGUGUGGGUAGCCAACCUAAAAAAAAACAAAAAUUAUCGCACUCUUCUCCAUACGAUGCUUUGUAUACUGUCAUCGCCAAACAGCGACAAUCACAAACAGCGAACAGCUGUUUUCAAUCUGGUUGUUGCCGAGUAAGAUAGACUGACCAACGAGAAGUAAUGAAUUACAGCAAUCCACACAGGUAGGAUGAGUGGAUGAUGUACCGCGACAUCAAUAAGAACAGAAGACAGCAGAUAAAUUCUUAUUGGUGGUAGUGUACCAUCUGAUACUUGACUACUAUUGGGAUUAUUUUUGAAAUUACAAGGAAUCAAGUGUUUCCAUAUUUCUUCGUUAACAAAACCCUUAAUGAUUACUGGUACGAUAAUAUAUGUAGGUUACAGGUUUAAGGUAUUCAUGUAGGGUCACAGUCCUUAAAUUCUUAGUUUGUAUUGCAAUUCGAAAUGGUCUCCCAAGGGGACCAUCCGUAAACUACGUAAACUCUUAGGACCAAAGGUUUUUGACCAAAGUCCAUGGUGAAUUCAUAUUUUCAAAAUAUUGUAUGGCCAAGUCAGUUCCUAUCUAUGAGAUGUCAAAUCGCAUUCUACGAGUAGCUACUUCUGUAGGAAAAUGAACUCCGACUAUCAUACGUCCGAAAAGGCAACGAACACGAUCAUCAUCGUAUCGGCACUUUUUCGAAAAGUUCCACCGAGUGAUCGCCACCAAAUAUUGCAAAUAUAAACCCCGUCCGUGGUAGUGACAUUCGACCCUGCCGAGCGAGACCGGCCGUGUGCCAUGCUAUGCCGCCGUGUACUGACUGUUGGGCAUCAUCGCAUAGCAUCUCUGUGAUCUUGUGUUACACCCUCAGAGACUGUAGGCAGACGCCUUGGUUGGCAACGAAUCAGACGCGUUCUCUGAAGCUAUCUGUGGUUGUUUUGUGAUUGAUUCUAGAAGCCAGGCGAAAACCAGCUGAUUCUGAUUAAUCCGAGUCAAGACAAUAAUCCAGGUCUUUGAUGGUGGUUUUGGGUUCAAAUUGUUCGGUCACGAGUUGUUAUGAGUAAUUAGGAAAGAACACUGUGCAACAAUGAAAAACUCGAUGCAGUUCAAUGUCUGGGCCAACAUUGAGUGUCGAAGAUUGGAAUAGCAUUGGGUGGCUAUUAUUCAAUAUUCAAGCAUUCAAGUAUUGCAAAAUUAUUACACUUGCCUUGUCUAACGUGAUAGAUGGUGACAGCAGCGACGUCAUGGUCGCGAUUUUUUUUGCAGUCAAGUUCGCAGGUUGUGAACAAUCCUUGGUACCUACUUUACGUAAUUUAUGUUUAGUCCUUUACUGUCAGAGCUGUCAGAUCAGUGUAACACGUUAAAUAUAAUUUACACAAAAGGCAAUUUACACGAAAAAAAUACACUAUUAUGAAUAUUAUUGGGUUCCGGACUGGACACACCAAAUUUGAUCGUUUUCUUGGUACAUCGAGGUCUUGAAAUUAGUCUAUGAUGAUAAUUUGAUAGUUUUGGUUUUUAUUUAUUUACGCGUAAUGCUUAUUCUACACUCCUAAUAGAGUUUUGAUACCCUAGUUAAAUAAGGCGAAAUAUUAUUGUUGUUUUUCCUACGCAUGCAAUCGAAUAAUAUAAAUAAAGAAAUCUCUAUGUCUAGAAAUACUAAAAGUAGGCGUAGGGUAUAACUAUUUUGUAGGUUUCGGAUCACUUCCGGAUCACGAACUUGAGCAAAGGUUUUUGGUAUACAGUGACCGGCACAAAAAAAAAGAUCCACCAUAUAGUGGUUACAGUUUCUAAUGAAAACUACAUGCAAAAAUGAUAAAAACUAUCUUUCAAUGAAUGCACUACAUCCAUUUUACAUUGUUUAAGCAAUCUGUGUUGAACAAUAUUUGGUUUUUGAGGAAUAAAGCAAACUCAGAUAAGAUUGGGAAAAUUGCUUAAAAAUUGGGUAUGACAGAAAAAAAGAUCCACUUAGCAAUUAACUCAGAAAUUUCAAAAUAUCACCAAUUUUUUAAACGUUUUGCUUCUUGGUGUAUAAUAUUGUGAUAUUUUCGACAUAUUAAAUUUAUUUUGACAUGAGUUUUAUCAAUUUUAGGGUAAUAUGGGACGUGUUUAUUGCUCAUGGUUAAUAUAAUUGGUGAAAUUUUCCCUAAACUACAGAAUCUAUCUGUAAACAAGAAUGAAUGCUAUUCAUCUACAAUACAACAAUAAUUAAGCUUGCAGGCAUACAGGAAUGUACUUCUUUGAACAUUUUUUAUGAGUUUUGGUCGACUAAUGCAAAGAAAUGCACAUGUUGUGAAGCUUAUAAAGGAUUAUUUGAUAUUAUUUGAUAACUCAAAACACUCUCACAUUUGUGUAUCGCAAUUAUCACCACCAUCUGCUUGAACUAAAGCUUUUUGGAUGCAUAUUCUAUCAUAUACACAUUGAUAAUUAUAAAUUUUCAAAGACAUACAAAGCUGAAUUAUUGUUGUAUUGUAGAUUAAUAGCAUUCAUUCUUGCCUUCAGGUAGUUUCUGUAGUUUAGGGAAAAUUUUAUCUAUUAUAUUAGCGAUAAAAAAUAAACUCGCCCCAUAUCACCCUAAAAUUUAUUAAACUCCUGUCAAAAUAAAUUUCACAUGUCAAAAACAUCACAACAUCAUAAACCAAGAAGUAAAACGUGUGAAGAUUUGGCGAAAUUUUGAAGUUUCAGAAUUAAUUGCUGAGUGGAUCUUUUUUUCUGUCAUACCCAAUUUUUAAGCAAUUUUCCCAAUCUCAUCAGAAAUCAUGUUAUUCCUCAAAAACCAAAUAAUUUUUGAUACAGAUUACUAAAACAAUGUAAAAUGGAUGUAGUGCAUCCAUUGAAAGGUAUAUUUUAUCAUUUUUGCAUGUGUUUUUCACUAGAAAUUGUAAUCAUUGUAUGGUGGAUCUUUUUUUGUGCCGGUCACUGUAUGCACACCUACAAGAAUUAAUGAACGCUUACAGUGUCAUCUAGUACUAAAAAUGGAAACUUGUCAUUUCUGCAUACGUUUAGUCAAGUUUCAUCAUACUAAUUGCAAGCUCGUCGAGCGUAUUCUAAGGCAUCAUCAAUUUCACUGAAAUGUCAAAACAAUAGAUACAGGGAGUAAGACUACAUUUUCAAAGUCUUAUGCUUUUUAAAUGCGGGCCAUCUCAGUGGUCCUUUAAGGUGGUUAAAAAAAAUCGUUUUUGGAGGAAAUACCCGCCAGUGCUCUGUUGCCACUAAGAUGGUAAUCUCAGGUUCUACUUCAUAUUUUAGAACAAAAGCUUAUCAUUUUUUGUACUCCUUUGUAGUGCAUAUGCUGAUUGUUUUUCAGAAUCUUCUGUGCGAUAGAAAGCGAGAUUUCCAUCUUCAAAAUUGCGAGGUGAAUGUUAGAUAGAGAGGGAAGAUGGGAAAAAUAACACGGCGUCCCGUAUCACCUUAAUAAGUUAUCGAUUUUUAUCCAACUGGAUAAAACAGUGAUCCUCCAGCUUCCCAUCAGGCAAUAAUGCUGCAUAAAGCACCAAAGAUAGCACACAGAAAUCAUGGUCCGUCGCAUUACACCUUCCAUGGAAAUGUUAGCCCUCGAGCGAUCACGCUUUGUAUUUUGUACAACACACUGAAAAAAUCUCGCUUUUUUAUUCAGCAUUAGCUUGGUGCUAGCGGUGGUUGCCCAUCGCGCGACUUACGGAAGGUUAAAGAGAAGUAAUAAGAGGCCGUCACUUUGUCGCAGUGCUCCGCAAGAUCCGAAUGGACUGAAUAGUUUACCAGAAACCUUUAUACAGUAUUGUACUAUUGUACAUUGUCUAUCGUUGCUUUAAUAAGUCUAGUCUAGCUCAAUCAGGGUACUGUUAUGGUCUUCUUGUUUUCUUACCCUGCAUUAAAGCUUUGAUGCUGUGUUAAAAGAUAGGUUGUCAGCUUGAGCCUCACGCUUGUGCCACAGUAAUGCUGGCUACAAAAAACAUUGCCAUGCAGAUAUACGGUGUAUUUAGUGCAAUCAUUACUUACAUGCAAACUUAAGGUUGAUUUAAAGUGGAAGUGAACAAUUAUAGAAUCAAGUUAAGAUUAUACAGGUAUAAUCUUGGAGUAUUCGCAUAAUUACCCAUUUUCACUUUAAAUCAACUUUAAGUUGUUAACUUGUAAAGUAAUGAUUGCUCUAAGUACACCGUAUACCUGCAUGCAGUAAGGCUUCAGCAUCGUGCUUACUUGGGCUGUCAUAUGCCGGCUUCUUGGAGUCGAUGAGCAGGUGAUGCAUUGGGACUUGAUCUGACGGCAGUUCUGGAGGAUUUACCGAACAAUGAAGAUCUCGUCCGUUGACGACCGACUGUCGAUGAAACCAGCUUGAUAACAUCCCACGAAGUCAUUCGUUUUGAAUGUCCGACAAGAUGAUCUGGAAUAGGACUUUGUAGGCAUUCAAAAUACUGAUCUCUCCGAAAAUCUGGCAUUUCAAAUGUUCUCAGGAAUGGGAUGUUUUAUCCCUUCCUUCCACUCCUCUGGUAGCUAUUCGGUCUCCCAGAUCUUAACUUGACUUGAACCAGUGCAGACAGAUGGCCAACUUUUCUGGGCCCAUCUUGAUAGCUGUCAUCUGCACUAGCUGCCCUCUGCCUUGGUUUCCCGUGACUACGUUCUCCGCGUCAUUCAAGUGGCUCAUCAAAGUGCUGCUUCCACCUCUAAUCAUCUCAGGUUCGACCGCCAACAGGCUCCUGUCUUCAGAGCCGUAGCGUGGUCCCAUGGCGCCCUUGGCAAGCAUCCAGACUGGCGCCUUACGUUAAUUGGGCAUUGUUAGUUAAAAAAUGUAGUUAUUCAUUUUGUUUUCAAAGUUUCUUUAGAAGAUGGAUUUUGGGAGUCGCUCAAACAUUUUCCACAAUGUUUUUCUCCUAUACGAGCAAAAUAACGAACACACUUUGCAUUUCAAGAAUCUUUUUAAGACCAGCACAAUAAUUAGACAUAACAUUUCAGAAUUCCAACAUAAAUGAUGCAAUAACUUCUUCAAGAAAUCGUACAGUGUUGUUUUCUUUUCUGGAUUUUUUGUUCAACCGAAUUUUAUUUUUCUACUUGAUUGAGUUUUGGAGGCCACAAACGAUCUAUGUUACCAAUUUUCAGCGAUUAGUUUAAUUGGUUUUACCAAAAUUUUACAAAAAUUUUACAAAAAGUUCCUUUGGAAGUUAAAUCAAAAAUAUUUCUAAGAAGAUCAGUAAGAAAAUAUUCUGUAAUCAUUAGAUUAACUGUGGAAAUGGAGGAAUUCCUGGAGAAAUUUCUGCAAAAAAUCUCUGUGAGUUUUUUUUUUGGAGUCUCUGGAAGAGUACAUGCUGGAAUGGAUUUCAUGAAGAGAAUUACAGGAAUUCCUGGAGCAGUUUAUGAAGAAAUACAUUAAGGAAGAAUUUGAAGAAUUUGUGAAGGAAUUCCUGAAAAAAGUUAAGAAACAUUAUUUCUCUGGAGUAAUUUUCUCACAAAAUCCUUGGAGAAAUCUCUGAAAGAAUUCCGCAUUUCAAGCCUUACUUUACCAAACCCCGUAUCUAACAAAAUCCACGAACGGGGAAAAUCGAAGGGGAAGUUCGCUGUUCCCAUAGCAACUCAUACAUUGAGCAUUUCAGAAACGUGAAAAAUCCGAAUAUUUUUUUCACAAAUCAUCCUCAAAGGUGAGUGAUACAAGUAGUCUUUAACGAAAUUCAGCGCCUCAUAAGAUAAUCUCUUUUUUGUGUACAUAUGUUACAUACAGUGUUUGGUAGAGUUAGGCUUGAUUUAUGAUUUUCUGGAGGAAUUUAUGAGGAAAUUCAUUGAGGGUUUUCAAGAAUCUAGUAGAGAGAGCAGAGAAUCUUGCAGAAAUUUAUUGAGCAAUCUCUAGAGGACAUGGGAUAAUUUCUGAAGGCAUCAAUGUAAGAUUUUCCAGGCGGUGUAAGAGAUUUCUUCUUUGUAUAGGAAAUUAUAGAAGACUUUUGGUAAACUUUGGUCGAAUUUCUAAAGAAAACUUUGGAAGAUUUUCUAAAAAAAAACUAAUUUAUGAAAGAAUUUUUGAAAGAAUUCUCAGAAGGCAUUUCUUAACAAAUUCUUGGAGGCGCUUCUAAAGGAAUCUCAGCAGGAGUUUCUGUAGGAAUCCAUGGAAGAAUUAUUGAGAAAAUUUAAUUAAGGGUUUGAAGUAAACCUUAAAGAUAUUUUUGCAAGAAUCUCUUUAAAAAUUUCGGAACUCCUCCUGGAGGAAUUUCAGAAGGAAUGUUCGAGAGGAAUCUCCAGAAGAAUUUUUGAUUUGAUAUUUUUAAGAAUCCCCGAAGAAGUUUCUAUGAAAGUUUCUUAAGAAGUUAUUCAAAGAAAUCCUGAAAGAAUUUUUGGAAAGUUCUGAAAGACUU